rnacentral:rRNA from 1 species
CUGGCGACGAGCGGCGGACGGGUGAGUAACGCGUAGGAAUCUACCUGGUAGUGGGGGAUAGCCCGGGGAAACUCGGAUUAAUACCGCAUACGCCUUAAGGGGGAAAGCAGGGGAUCUUCGGACCUUGUGCUAUCAGAGGAGCCUGCGUUGGAUUAGCUAGUUGGUAGGGUAAAGGCCUACCAAGGCGACGAUCCAUAGCUGGUCUGAGAGGAUGAUCAGCCACACCGGAACUGAGACACGGUCCGGACUCC